GCCCCCCAACUUCCUGUUCUUUUUCUCUGGGAAUAGUGGUUUCGGUCAUUGCGGGAAAUGGGAGCCUGGCUAUGCCAUCCGUGUGAACAGGUGGUCUGAGAUACCAUCACAUGGUGAGGACUUGUUUGAGGUUCUAGGUCUGGUGGUUGCUGGUGAAACGUCCCCAGGUACGCCUCUGCCUGUCUUUGUAAAAAGUGAUGUAGUGGAUACCUUAGGUGUGAUCUAGAUGUCUCUGUGGACGUUGAAGUCACCCAACAACCUCUCCUUAUUGAGCUCCUAGAACAGUAUUAGGUGGUCCCCAAAUUAGGAUGCCUUCACUUGUCCCUUUUGACUUUCUGAUGGUGUGAGAUGCAUAUCUAUUCUGCUUUUCACUUUCAAUGGACAGUAUUGAACACAUGACCUGAAAUUUCACUACUCUGUUACAAAGGAGGCUUCUGAACUCAUUUAAGGAAGACUAGGCUAAGGUAAUGAAAUGCACCUUGCAUUGGAAUAUUUUCCACCUUAUGACAUGCUUAUCAGGAUGUAACCCCAUUGUAAGUUGAGGAGCAGAAUUUAAGCCUGCAGACUCUCAGGUCAGAAUCCUGAGUUCAAGGGCAAAUUAAUGUGAUCUCGGGUGAGUUGUUUGAUUAAUCUAAGCUUUAGUGUUUUCAUGUAUAGAGUUGGUUGAUGUAAGGAUUCAGUCCGAUAAUGAAUAUAAACUACUUAGCACUGUUUGUCACCUCUUGAGUUCUUGGUAGGGACUGCCUACCCUAACAACCAUUGAAAAGUUUUAGCAUUCCUUGAGCUCCUGGUAGGGACUGGCUAUUGUAAAAAAACACCAGAAAGUUCUUGCAUCCAAAGUGACCCACCCCAUAUCCCCUUCUUCCUUUCAGGUUCUCUGUCUUUCUUUUGAAGUCAUGUGCAAAGUUCUGAGUAACUGUAAAUUCUGUUGGGCUGAACAUUGAUAAAUGAAGAAUGAUCUUUCCUCCCACUCUGUCAUCCAUGUAAUUCCAAGGACAGAAUUUGUAAGGAGCCUUCAGGACACCAGGUGACACUUGUCUCUAGCAUCUGUGCUCUGAGGGAAGGAAUCAGCGUGGCUUCCCAGGAGCUAGUCAUCAUUCUCUGACCAUAAUGCAAGCUGAGUUCUGGGAGGUCCAGGACAGACAAGACCCACCAAAAGCAGAAGCAACUUCCUCAGAAAAAGAAAAGCAUGCCUGACAUCCCACUUUAUCUGGUCGCAUCAGGGAAUGUGCUUUUCUUGGAGAUGAAUGAAAAAAGAAGCAACCACAUCAUCCAGCCAAAGUCCUCCUGUUUGCAAGACAAGGACUUUACUGACUGGGCCAUCUCCUCAGCCUCAGAGGCAGCAUUUAACCCUCUUCCUCUGCAAGAACUGGACUCCAUCUCACACUCUGAGAACUCUGUGUGCUCAGGGACUUUUCUCAGGAUAAAGUCACAGAAAAGAUAGACAGAGGUGGAGCUCCUGGCUGGGCACCCAUCACAUGCCUGCCAUGAAUCAUCCACUGCCAGGAACUGCUAGGCACAUCUUCAAGGCGCUAGUGGAGGCACAUGGCUGUUCAUCAAUGUCAGUUAAAGGAGAAACGAAGGAGCAGAGGGAAUUUAUUGGCUCAAGUCCUUGAGAAGACCGUGGUGGACCUGGAUUGCAGGCAUAGCUGGCUCCUCUAUCAUCCUCUUUCCAUCUCAUAUCCUUGCUCACACAGCCUGGCUUUAAUUGCUGGGGACUUUCAUGUAACACAAAUUUUAAAAGGUCUUAGAAAUAGAAAUAACCCGGGCCAGAUAUUGGGGUGAAAG